rnacentral:lncRNA from 1 species
UUCGGGAGUCACAUAACUAUCGAGUUAGAGACAAUUAAGGUCACUUAAUGUCACACCCGGAUUUAAGGUACAAAGCCGGGUGCAUCUCAUACAUGCGUCAAAGAAAACAACAUAUAUAAUAACAUAGUGUAUAGAGAUAAAUGUCAUAAUAUAAUCAGAGUACUUAUUACAUAGCGGAAGUUUUACAAAAAUAAAAGAUAAAUAUAACACGAACUAAGGAUCAUCCUUGGCGCAAGUCAACUGGGAGACGCCACCUAGAUCGAAUCGAACUCCUCGUUGUGUGGCUCCUCUCGAACCACCUGUUCUUAACAUGUGGGGGUGUGAGACAGCAAGGGUGAGCUCACACAAGUUCAUCGCUCAACAAGUUGUGGGGAAUAAUGUGGUAUGAACUCGCCAAAGGUGGGAGUUCAUGUGAAGUGUAAGGUUGAUCAACAAAAUAAAGGUUGAAGCUGAGCAUUGCUUUUAUACGUUGGUCAAAGUUUUAUUAGCAGUUACUAAGUGUAAGUAAAUACCAAACCAUAAUAAAUAAUAGAACAAAAUUAAUAAAUAAUCUCAUGCAAUGCAUAUGACAAAUUAAAUUUAAGUUCCAUAAAUUAAUCAUGCGAGAGUCCUGAGCUGCUCAUGACCGUGAGCUCAGCUAGUAUACCAGUUUUACACUCUGCAGAUGUUGUACCUUGUACCCACAAGUCGUGUAUCCCAUGUCGUCAGGGUUAGUUAGACCCUUAGACACUACCGAGGUGAAUGGCUAGGGAUCCACUACGAGGCCUUUACAAAGUUCCACUAGCUUCCGAAAACCCGGUACAGUUUAUGGGAAGAGCACUUGCAAGAAUCUCUCGUCUGUCUGCCAUCGUAGCAAAAUCAACUGAGAACCUCCUUGCAUGCAACUCCCCUAUUGCCCUAGUCUUCCACGAGCUUUCCUAAUUAGUUAGCCAAGGGUGUCCCAUUCCACCCUUAUGAUGGCACGUGUUUCUCAAGUUAAGCUCCAUGUUCCAAUUAAAGAUAAUGAUCUUUAUAUGAACAUAAAUAAAAUAACAUAAUAAUUGGAACAUGGAUAUAAUGAAAUAUUAACCCAAAACCAUAAAAGGCAAUAGCAAAACUACCCAAGUGAUUUAGGGGUAAACAAGGUAAAAGAUAAUCAGACUAGGGUAACCUAUUGGGUCCCAUCAAAGUUAAACUUAUGCAUGAACAAGUGAUAUUAAAGAACAUUAUUGGGUAAACAAAAGUGAUCAAAGGCACAAGUUGCCUGGCACUUGAGAUUCCAGUUACCAGGGUGAUUCUUCAUAUCCUCGUAACCUCACUGCUAGUCGUAGCAAUACAAACAAACAUGGUAUAGAUAAAAUUAAUAUCACACCAAAUAUAAGAAUAAACUGAAUCAUAAUGAUCUACGCGAAGCUACGAGAUCGAGAUCCACUAAGAUUGGAGUUAUGAUUUUAUAGAGGAUUUAUGUGAUUAAAAUGUUAAACUAUAUUAUAAAUUGGUUAAUAUAAAUUAUAUAAGAGGUUAUUCUAUAAAUAAUUAUCUCAACUUUAAUCUAAGUUAUAAAUUUACCAUAAAUCAUAUAUUGGUGGAUAAUGGUGAGCACAUUAACAAGACUAACCAACAUAAGUUAAUUAAAGAUCUAAUCAUAAAAUAAUGAGACAUGGUAUAAUAAAUGUUGUUAAUGCAUAGAAGAUAAUUGUACGAGACUAACGCAACUUGAAUGGAUCAAAUCGGAAUUAGAACAAAGGAGUUACGAAUCUCUAAAGGCUUUAUCUAUUUGUUACAAGAUUAAUUGAGUGAUCAAUUCUAAUAUGUGUUUUAUGUUAAAACAGAGACACCAGUCGAUAAACAAUAUUAUUACAAAAUUAUAGGAACCGGAAUGAGUCAAAAAGGAGUUAAAAUGAAUUUUAUAUGCAUUUUACAAGUUUCUAGAAUUAUUCUUGAGUUAAAAAUCAAUUUCUAUAAUCGAUUUCCUAAAUUCUCAAUUCCCUGGACCGAGUGCAUAAAAGCAGAUAAAUACAGGGGGUUCAUAUGCCAGAAACGGAGGGGCUCUUUAGAAAAAUAGACACCGCGAAGGGGUAUCCUCCAUCCAGGGCCGCCCGAUCUGAUCUAGAUGGCCCAGAUUGAACCUAACUUAAAGUGAACCAAUCUGCACUUGUGGCCCUCGGAUCACAUAUCAGCGGACAAGGGAUGGCCAUGGACGAAACUAACCUGAACCCUAGGAUUAACAACUAGCGGUCCCGAUUCAAAGCAUCCAAAGGGGUAUGGAUGUUUUAAUCUUAGCCGCCCCCAACACUGGCCAAACGCGGUGGUGGCAGACACUGGCUGGCGCGCGGCGGAAUGUAGUUUAGUGCCCCAAAUUCGAUUAUAACCAGUGCUACACGUUGAGAAGGAAAAGGCAAACUACAUGGAUGUGCUUUCACCUCAGUGGAUGACGCAGACGCACAUGAGCACGACGAGGAGCGGAUCAAUGGCGGCGGCGACCGACGUCGAGAAAUUCUCGGUCUCCCGGGUGCCCUCCACUGCCAGCGAUAGCCCGCCCCGCACGGUGCUGACACAAGGCACAAUCCCCCAACUCUCUGAAGAUGAACAGAAGGUGCGCUGUUUGAUUGGUGUUGACCCGGCAGCUCCGCGAUGAUGGCGAGAGGUCACACGACGUCGAGGAUUUAUACCUCAGAACUGGUCUCCGAUUUGUUGAUGUUGCGAGGUCUCGUGAGGGUUGUUGGCCAGCUAGUAUUGCGGCGGCGGAAAACG